GAUUGUGUGGUUUCUUUCUGCUGCAUUUGUUUUCAAAUGGGCCUACUCUGUCAUAUGCAUUAUAUUGGAGCUAGUAAAUGUUUGAAGACAGAAAGAUCUAUCUUAAGCUUUUCCUGCAUCAGAGAUUGGCUCCCACAUGU
ensembl:snoRNA